rnacentral:lncRNA from 1 species
GACCACCACCACCAUAACUACCAGGAAUCCCACCAGAAACCACCGGCACCACCGCACAACCACCUCCAUCAACACCGCCACACCACCACGAGCUCCGGACGAGAAAGAACAGGAACAAGCACCGACCUUCUUCUCAAGCUAACCGUCAAUUCUCACACCAAUUCCAAAUUCGAUUUCGUCCCUGAAUCCUCCAACGCAAUAGAUCCAGAUCUCGAUCGUCGAUUUCAAGCUCUCAGAUCCAAACCUAAACCUAAAAUCGCCGCUGCUCAUGAAGAUGUAGAUGUAGAUGACCUGUUUUGCUCGAUUCGCUGCUCUCGGACGUCCUCAAAAGGAGGCGGAGACGAGCGGGAGUGAUGGGAUAGGUCUUGGUUAGACCGGGUAAGACGGGGACGUAAACUAGCUUCUCCUGAAACGCCACCAGCAACGCCAUUCCGGCCACCACUAUUCCGCCGAUGCCGUAGAUCACCAAGCUCAUGUACGACACCAUCUCUCUCUUGAUUGAUGAAUUGAUGAUGAUGAUGAUGCCUUUUCUAGUUUUCUUUAUCUUCUGGGUAAUGGACUCAGGUCGUUAA